rnacentral:rRNA from 1 species
AGAUUGAACGCUGGCGGCAUGCCUUACACAUGCAAGUCGAACGGCAGCACGGGGGCAACCCUGGUGGCGAGUGGCGAACGGGUGAGUAAUGCAUCGGAACGUGCCCAGUAGUGGGGGAUAACUAGUCGAAAGAUUAGCUAAUACCGCAUACGACCUAUGGGUGAAGCGGGGGAUUCGCAAGACCUCGCGCUAUCGGAGCGGCCGAUGUCUGAUUAGCCUAGGUUCGGGCGGGGUAAAGCCCACCAAGGCUUCGAUCAGUAGCUGGUCUGAGAGGACGACCAGCCACACGUGGGACUGAGACACCGGCCCAGACCUCCGUACGGGAGCAGCGAGGUGGGGUAAUUUGGACAAGUCGGG